AGAGUUUGAUCAUGGCUCAGGAUGAACGCUGGCGGUAUGCUUAACACAUGCAAGUCGAACGGACUCUUCGGAGUUAGUGGCGGACGGGUGAGUAACGCGUGAGAAUCUGGCUUCAGGUUCGGGACAACAGUUGGAAACGGCUGCUAAUACCGGAUGUGCCUUAUGGUGAAAGAUUUAUCACCUGAAGAUGAGCUCGCGUCUGAUUAGCUAGUAGGUGUGGUAAGAGCGCACCUAGGCGACGAUCAGUAGCUGGUCUGAGAGGAUGAUCAGCCACACUGGGACUGAGACACGGCCCAGACUCCUACGGGAGGCAGCAGUGGGGAAUUUUCCGCAAUGGGCGAAAGCCUGACGGAGCAAUACCGCGUGAGGGAGGAAGGCUCUUGGGUUGUAAACCUCUUUUCUCAGGGAAGAAUGAUGACGGUACCUGAGGAAUAAGCAUCGGCUAACUCCGUGCCAGCAGCCGCGGUAAUACGGAGGAUGCAAGCGUUAUCCGGAAUGAUUGGGCGUAAAGCGUCCGCAGGUGGCAAUGUAAGUCUGCUGUCAAAGCGUCUGGCUCAACCAGAUAAAGGCAGUGGAAACUACAUAGCUAGAGUAAGGUAGGGGUAGAGGGAAUUCCUGGUGUAGCGGUGAAAUGCGUAGAGAUCAGGAAGAACACCGGUGGCGAAAGCGCUCUGCUGGA
rnacentral:rRNA from 1 species